GACCUAACCCGCUAUCUGGCGGCAUGGUCGUCAAAAAUCUAUUGCGAAAUAACAGCUCGUCGUCAGAGUUUCAUUUCGUAAUAGUCGUAACUGGAGACGGUUGCGGGUAGCCUCGGCUAUC
rnacentral:sRNA from 1 species